rnacentral:rRNA from 1 species
GAUGAACGCUGGCGGCGUGCCUAAUACAUGCAAGUCGAGCGAACAGACGAGGAGCUUGCUCCUCUGACGUUAGCGGCGGACGGGUGAGUAACACGUGGAUAACCUACCUAUAAGACUGGGAUAACUUCGGGAAACCGGAGCUAAUACCGGAUAAUAUAUUAAACCGCAGGGUUCAUUAGUGAAAGACGGUUUUGCUGUCACUUAUAGAUGGAUCCGCGCCGCAUUAGCUAGUUGGUAAGGUAACGGCUUACCAAGGCAACGAUGCGUAGCCGACCUGAGAGGGUGAUCGGCCACACUGGAACUGAGACACGGUCCAGACUCCUACGGGAGGCAGCAGUAGGGAAUCUUCCGCAAUGGGCGAAAGCCUGACGGAGCAACGCCGCGUGAGUGAUGAAGGUCUUCGGAUCGUAAAACUCUGUUAUAAGGGAAGAACAAAUGUGUAAGUAACUAUGCACGUCUUGACGGUACCUAAUCAGAAAGCCACGGCUAACUACGUG